rnacentral:rRNA from 1 species
CCUCUUUUGUCGGGAAAGAAAUGCCUAGCCAGGCCCUGGACGAAUGACGGUACCCGAAGAAUAAGCACCGGCUAACUACGUGCCAACAGCCGCGGUAAUACGUAGGGUGCAAGCGUUAAUCGGAAUUACUGGGCGUAAAGCGUGCGCAGGCGGUUUUGCAAGACAGAUGUGAAAUCCCCGGCCUCAACCUGGAAACUGCAUUUGAGACUGCA